AAUGAACGCUGGCGGCAGGCCUAACACAUGCAAGUCGAACGGGUCCUUCGGGACUAGUGGCGGACGGGUGAGUAACGCGUGGGAACAUACCCAAAGGUACGGAAUAGCCUCGGGAAACUGAGAGUAAUACCGUAUGUGCCCUUCGGGGGAAAGAUUUAUCGCCUUUGGAUUGGCCCGCGUUGGAUUAGGUAGUUGGUGGGGUAAUGGCCUACCAAGCCGACGAUCCAUAGCUGGUUUGAGAGGAUGAUCAGCCACACUGGGACUGAGACACGGCCCAGACUCCUACGGGAGGCAGCAGUGGGGAAUCUUAGACAAUGGGGGGAAACCCCUGAUCUAGCCAUGCCGCGUGAGCGAUGAAGGCCUAGGGUUGUAAAGCUCUUUCAGUGGGGAAGAUAAUGACGGUACCCACAGAAGAAGCCCCGCUAACUCCGUG
rnacentral:rRNA from 1 species